rnacentral:rRNA from 1 species
GACGAACGCUGGCGGCGUGCCUAAUACAUGCAAGUCGAACGCAGUGGGGACGGGUGAGUAACACGUGGGUAACCUCCCAUCAGAGGGGAUAACACUUGGAAACAGGUGCUCAACCGAUACUGCUGGAUGGACCCGCGGUGCAUUAGCUAGUUGGUGAGGUAACGGCUACACAACGCCCCGAUGCAUAGCCGACCUGGGAGGGUAAUCGGCCACACUGGGACUGAGACACGGCCCAGACUCCUACGGGAGGCAGCAGUAGGGUAUCUUCGGCAAUGGACGAAAGUCUGACCGAGCAACGACGCGGGAGUGAAGAAGGUUUUGGGAUCGUAAAACGCUGUUGUUAGAGAAGCGGUAGGUAAAGAGAAAGCAACGGCUAACUACGUGCCAGCAGCCGCGGUAAUAG